CCCGACGACAAGAGUGCUGUGGUCCUACCUGACCCCAUACCGAACUCAGAAGUAAAACGCAGUAACGUCGAUGGUAGUGUGGUGAUUCGCCAUGUGAGAGUAG
rnacentral:rRNA from 1 species